rnacentral:rRNA from 1 species
UUUCCCGGAGCUUGCUCCACCGAAAGAAAAAGAGUGGCGAACGGGUGAGUAACACGUGGGUAACCUGCCCAUCAGAAGGGGAUAACACUUGGAAACAGGUGCUAAUACCGUAUAACACUAUUUUCCGCAUGGAAGAAAGUUGAAAGGCGCUUUUGCGUCACUGAUGGAUGGACCCGCGGUGCAUUAGCUAGUUGGUGAGGUAACGGCUCACCAAGGCAACGAUGCAUAGCCGACCUGAGAGGGUGAUCGGCCACACUGGGACUGAGACACGGCCCAGACUCCUACGGGAGGCAGCAGUAGGGAAUCUUCGGCAAUGGACGAAAGUCUGACCGAGCAACGCCGCGUGAGUGAAGAAGGUUUUCGGAUCGUAAAACUCUGUUGUUAGAGAAGAACAAGGAUGAGAGUAAAAUGUUCAUCCCUUGACGGUAUCUAACCAGAAAGCCACGGCUAACUACGUGCCAGCAGC